AUUAAAUAAAAUAUUCCAUUUUCUUAUAAAAUAAUAUUUAUAGAGAUAUUCGUAAACAAUUUUUGUAGCGUAAAAGUAAAAUAAAUUCGUUCAUACAGUAACACAGAUAACUAGAAUAUGUAAUUUAAUUUACAAUGACGUGUGGGCCCCUAAAUGACCAAAAGUAACGAAGGUUGCAAACCUACGAUUUUUAAGGAUGUAAAUCCAACUGUAGCCCUCGACG
rnacentral:lncRNA from 1 species